rnacentral:rRNA from 1 species
GACAGGGGUCUCGAGCGUUACUCGGAAUUACUCGGCUUAAAGGGUGCGUAGGUGGGUCCGCAAGUGCCUUGUGAAAUCCCCCGGCUCAACCGGGGAACUGCGGGGCAUACUGCGGGUCUUGAGGAAGGUAGGCGCCGAGGGAACAGUAGGUGGAGCGGUGAAAUGCGUAGAUAUCUACUGGAACGCCGAUGGUGAAGACGCUCGGCUGGGCCUUUCCUGACACUGAGGCACGAAAGCGUGGGGAGCAAACAGG